UAUUACUUUUUUCAUCAUUGAGUUGAUUCUAUGCAUAUAUGUUCUUUUUACAGCCAAAAAACAAUAUAUGCGUAUAUAUGCUUAUAUAUUUUAUUUCAAAAAAAAACGUAUAUGUUUCUUUGACAGCCAAGAAGAGGUGCUUUGAAACAUGGGAGGAAGGUAGCAAAACAUUCAUCAGUCUCUUGGAAAAAAAAAAGGAUGGCUCUUCCUUGCCUUGCAUAGCACAAAAGUCUGUUUCUUUGGUAUGGAGUGACAAAAGGAAUGCUAAUAUUUUGAAGUGUCAACUCUCUAGUGACAACAGGAAGAUUUCAUUUCUCUGAAUACUGAAUGCCUGCUGCCUGGUUAAGUGGAUCCACGACAUUAUUUUGGGGCAUAAGACGUGAAAAUGCCUCGUAAAGUAAGUUACGGAGUUGAUUAUGAUGAUGGUUAUGAUGGGUAUGAAGAGUAUGACUAUGACUAUGACUAUGACUAUGACUAUGAUGUAGAAGAAUAUGGUAGAUAAUUUGUUAUUGAACAAAUCGAUCAUAGGUUCCCAACAAUUACUGUCAUUGUGCUUGGUGCCAAGAGGAAUGCCAAGGUAAGUGAUAGGUAACUGUGUUUGCUUGCAGCCCAAAACCACACUGAAGUGUUCAUUUCUAGAGCUGUUUCCCAACAAAACCAUCUCAGAUUUUUGGAAAUUUAUAUUUAAACCGGAGACAGUCUGAAAGCAUAGUAGAAUACAUUUUAGGAAGAUGAAGGAGUUGAAAUCCGAUUGACAGAAAAUCAGUGUAGCAUCAGCAAAGAAAAGAUGAAAAAUUUCCGUUUUGUGAUCUCUGUUACCUACAGUAAUCUCUUUAAUUAAGUUUAGUGAUUUUGUUUUCUCAGUUAGUUAAUUCAGUGCCUCCAUUACAAUAAUGAAUAAGAGUGGAUAAAAGGGAUCCCCUUGUCGUAGGCCUCU